rnacentral:rRNA from 1 species
UACAGAGGUCUCAAGCGUUGUUCGGAUUCAUUGGGCGUAAAGGGUGCGUAGGCGGCGCGGUAAGUCGGGUGUGAAAUCUCGGGGCUUAACUCCGAAACUGCAUUCGAUACUGCGGUGCUUGAGGACUGGAGAGGAGACUGGAAUUCAUGGUGUAGCAGUGAAAUGCGUAGAGAUCAUGAGGAAGACCAGUGGCGAAGGCGGGUCUCUGGACAGUUCCUGACACUGAGACACGAAGGCCAGGGGAGCAAACGGG